GAUGGAGAGAUUCAACGUUUCCUUGUUCGAUGGGUAAGCCAACCUGAUUCUGAUUAUACAUGGAUCCCUAGAGAGACAUUCUAGCAACUUGAUCCCGACUUAGUGGAGCUUUAUAGGAGUUAGCAAGACCUUCCUUUGCCUAGACCACCUAUCACACGUCUAUGGACGUCAGAAGAAGUUUGUCCAACCACCCAACUUAUGGUUAGGAGACUGACCGCAACAUUUUCGUGAGUCAUUCACUCGACAAAGUUGAGUUUUCUCCCACUCCGAGAGAGUUGAUGAGGACAUUUGCUUAGGACUACUUUCUAGUUUUGCUUGGGCUGGUAUUAUGUUUUGUAAUUGGGCUAGUUUAGUAUUUUGCUUUGAGCUUGCAUUAUAUAUGUAGGUUGGCCCAAGCUUUUUUUAUAUUUUGUAUUAUUGAUAUAUAUUCAGCCCUUUGUGUAAGUAGGGGACAGAUUGGAUGAAUGAAAUGAUAUUUGAGUGUUAAAACACGUUCUCUCCCUCCCUCUUCUCUCCUUCUCUGGAUGUCUAUCCUGCUCCUUCUGCUGGUUCCUUCGGUUUUCUUAUUUUCUACUUCUAUACUUGAGCUACAUCAAGUUGUACUGCAGAUGAAAAUGCAUUGUUCUUGCCUCGUCUUGAGUCCAGUCUAUUUAGUUGCUGAAUUCAUAAAUUGUGUUAUUAAUAUGAAUUUUGAACACCUUAUUGAUUCGGUAUUCAGGGACCUUCAUUUUUUGUACAAUGUGAUUUUCCCCUGCAUCUUGAACUAUUUGGUGUGAAUUCUUCUGAGCACACACUUUAUCACUGGAUGUGAUCCUCUCUUUUUUUAUUCUUUUCUCUUAGUGUGAUUAAAUAGUUGUUAUUAUUCAAAUAAAAAUAUUCGUAUGACCUCUUUCCCCUCCCAAAUUUACAUCUGGAAUGUUGAAAAUAUUAAACUUACUAUAGAGAUGAUCAUUCUAUGGUGACCAUUCUUCUUGGUGCAGUUGUUUAGUUUUGUAGUAAAAUUAACCUAUGAAAAGAAGAUCAUAGUGAUGUGCGUUCUCCGAAUUAUCCAACACAUUAAUUAUUCACCAAUACUUGCUGUUCUAAUCAGGGUUCAUUUUAUUCAAGUUUAUUAUGUUCUUUUCCUUCUCAUUAAUCGGAAUUGAAUUCGUUUAUUAGAGAUUCUGAUUUUUAACAUGUUUUAGAACCUUUUGUAGUGGGAGCAUCGCAACUUUCUGAAUUUAUUUCCUUAUUCAUAUGAAAUUGGCAGAGUGGGAUGAAAAAGAGGAAGGUAAGGAAGUAACUCAGCAAUGGGAAGAUGAUUGGGAUGAUGAUGAUGUCAAUGAUGACUUCUCUCUGCAGCUUAGGAGGGAAUUGGAGAGCAUCACUGAGAAGAAUGGAGCUAAGUCUGCAUGAUAUAAGUUUCUCUUAUUGAUGCUUCCCCAUAAUUUAUUUGUUACCAAAUCCUGUGAUGAUGUCCUUCUAGAACAUUGCGUGUAGGAGAAUCCAUUGAGUUCUCAUUUGAUUCCAGAGUCUUGUUAAUGAAGAAAUUUUCUAUUUUCAUUCCUUAUUCUGAGGUAUAUUUUUAUGGUCCAACUUGACAUCAUUUCACUGGCUGUUCAAUUUCUUCCAUAUCUGAUACAUGAGGAAUUUAUGGCAUUUUUAACAAAGUUAAUUAUA
rnacentral:lncRNA from 1 species